rnacentral:rRNA from 1 species
UACGGGGGGGGCAAGCGUUGUUCGGAAUUACUGGGCGUAAAGGGCUUGUAGGUGGCCAACUAAGUCAGUGGUGAAAUACGGUAGCUCAACUAUCGAGGUGCCAUUGAUACUGCGGAGCUUGAGUACAGAUGAGGUAGGCGGAAUUGACGGUGUAGCGGUGAAAUGCUUAGAUAUCGUCAAGAACACCUAUAGCGAAGGCAGCUUACUAGGCUGUAACUGACGCUGAGGCACGAAAGUGUGGGGAUCAAACAGG